rnacentral:miRNA from 1 species
CUCAGUGAGCUGGAUCAGAGCC